CACACACACACACACAGCGAGUUGGUGAUUUACAGAGCAAGACAACCAAACAGGAGAGUGGAAAAAUGUGACCGGAUGUAAAACAUUUCUAACAAAUUGGUUUGAAAGGAAAUGAUUUAAACUCAUUAACUGCUUCUACAAGAAGAAGAACAGAAACGAUUACAAGAUGGAGUCGGUUUAUCUCCAGAACAUAUUAGUCACAUCAUCCCUGCAAGCGCAUUUCAUAAUGAGUUUGACAAAUAAACAACAGUUGCUGUUAGUGAAUGAUUCUCAAAAAGCUAGCUGGGAUUUCUGGACUUUCUGACACUGCAAACCAGACGUCACGGCCUUCUCAUCUCCAAAACCCCAAAUCAUUCCAAAUAAAGGUUGUGGGUGGUAA